rnacentral:lncRNA from 1 species
GAUGUUUUACUGAUAACAUAUCCUAUAACAUUUUUUUUGUAUUUAAUUUUUUCGGAGUGAAUUAGUGUUAUCUCAGCAUUAAAUAUUUUCAUGAAAAUUCUUACACAUGAUAUUUUUCAGACAUCGUUAAUAUAAUGCAGGGUAAGCAAUGUACAGUCUUUCUUCAACGAAAUAUGUUUUUAUGAUAUGUAAAGCCCGUUUAACGAAACAAACAAACGUUUUUAAUCUUAUUUAUUUCCUUAUUGUUUGCAUUACACAUAGAUGAAUACUUGAUUUUAUUCAAUUCAUAAAGCACAGAAAUUUCAAAUAUACCAAGUUGGAGUUUAAUUAAAAUGCUAAAAAUUAAAAUUUCAUCAAUAAUAAAAUAAUGUAUUCUAUUUUAUUUUAUGUACGUAUGAUCAUGAGAAACUAAUCCAGAUACAACGUCAGAAUAAGACAAUGGUGAUGCGUAUUUUAAUUCUAAAAUAAAGAACAUGAGAAGGUAAUAACUUUAAACUUUUUAAAAUUUCUACACACAAUCCAAGUACCAUAGAUUUUAUAUAUGUUUUAACAUUAUUUUUUUCCAUGAUCGCAUUACAUUAGACCAGAUACUUCUCAUGAAACAAGUGACAGUUCAAAUUUCACUGAAACAGUAUGCGAAAACAAGUUCUAAAUGUACCUUAAUAGUUCAAAAGUUUCUGAUGCAACGUCUCAAAUAACAUAAUGAAUCUGGUCAUUGAACAAUUUAACAAUAUUAAGAUCGAUAAAUAUUCUAUUUCAUAACUUAUAUGUGUUGACAACUGAUAUUGAUAAGUAUUCAUUCAAGGGGAAGAUACUGUGAAUAAAUCAGACUGUUUGGGUAUUCAUUUUGAGAUAUUACACAUGUAAAAUACUACUUAUAUAGCUUUUGAUAAUUGUUAUAAAUCAUGUCAGUGCCAACGUUCUGACUAUUGAGCUCAUGCUUAACUCGGGGACAGCAAUGGUAUCACCGAAGUGCUGUACAAAUGAAAAGAAAACAUGUUAUGCAUUGCAUGCGUCCGAUGCAUUUUUCUGGAUCUACUUUUAACAGGAUUGGUUAAAGACAAGAAAAUGAAAGCCAAAGAUGUAUCUCAAAACCAAAUCAAUUAAAGAGCUAUAUGACCAAACGAUUUAAUAACUUUUUUUUUUAAAGAGGACAACUUUUUAUGAUGUUACCAAUAAAGACAUGUCUUACUGUAGGAGUACAUGAACAUUAAACAUACAAUUCUUAAAAUUUAAUUUGGUCCACUAUCGUGCCUUCUCUUGCUGACACAAGCUAAUGAAAUCAAAGGCGACAGUUCUUUUUAAGAUAUUAAUUACUCCACAGUUUUGAAACAAAAAACUUUCAAAGGCAAAAUGUCAUCUACGUAGCAGUGUUUUUAACACAAAGAAUUUGCAAAAUGAAACAAGAAUUACUGUUAUUUUCUUGUUUGUUUAGAACUGUUCGUGAUUAAACAAUGAAGUUCUAAAUGUCGCAAAUAAACACCUAGUCUCAUCAAAUAGCUUAACGAGUAAACCCGUUAAUAACGUACUGUGUAUAGUAUUGUUUUCAAACGAAUGUUUGGCAUCACGUAGAAAUAAUGGGAAAUACAGCAAAAGGAUGUUUCUGUAUAAAGUAUAUCUAUAUUCACCUUGUUUUGUAUUCACGAUUUCGAAAUAGUAAAUUCUAUAACGAAUAUUGAUCUUUUUCUACAAUUUUCUUUUGUUGUUAAGAGUCUUCAUGAGCGACACAAAUACAGAAUGCAGGCAAGUUUGGAUGGCGGAGGAAAACACUAUCACAGCGUCGUAUAAGAUACAGAAACGAACCAACUAAAAUCGUUUUUUUUUCUUGUACAUUUAGUUAUGUGUGUACUUGAUAUUUCAAUAUUUUUGCAGUUAAAAUGUGUUUUAUAUGUUUUUACUGUAGUAUGUGUUUUAAAGCCAUUAUGAAAUGCGUUUUACUUAUAUAUUUAAUUAUCGAGUAAUACACAAACAUGAGUUGAGUCCUCUAUAAAAAUAUAUCACAUUCCUUUCAUCCAGUUUCUUUUUUCUUUGAAAUAUCUUUUCUUUUAGUACAAUGAACGAGUAUGGAAAAGUCGCUUCUUUAAAGAGUUUAAUUGUCAUUUGGACUAUACGGCUAUAAAUCACUGAAUUGGUAAUUCAAAGGUUAAACUUAAUAUUUUGAUUUGUCAUUAAAAAUUCGUAUGUUGCAAUUUUUGUCAAAUUCGCUUUGAAGUACGCUAGCUUACCUGAAAGAUAAAUCGACUUUGAAAAGUUUUGAGGUCUAUAUUGUAAAAGAACAUCCGUGAUAGGAUUUCUGUAAUUAUAUCCAUUUACGUUACAUCUUAUAUUAACGAUUUCAAAUAAAGAUUUGCAAAGUUAAUCCGUUAUUAAAGAGGUAUUUGUAAAAGUUUAAUAUUACGAAUAUUUUGCAUUUAAUAAAAUACGUUUCAAUUCAAUUUCAUCAUUUGUUUUAACGCAAAAAAAUUAAAUGUAAAAUGAUCAACAUUUAUAUGAUAUUUCAUACCUUUAUUAAUCAAUAAUAUCACACAGUAGCAUAUGUUUUUUACCGCUACGACACGAACAGCGAAAAUAAAGAAAAUAAACAGGCUCUCCUUAAUUUCUUUGGUAGUUUUAUUCUUCAAAACUUUGACAAUUUCCCUUUGAUUUCAUCUGAUUGUGAGCUUUACUGAGCCGGAACGUUUGUAAAUCCCAAAAUUGUCAAAGUAAUUUAACGCUGUUAAUGACUGUCGUUACUUGUUUAGCACUCAUGAGGAGGCCGAUGCCCAAUGUCUUAAACUAUGACUGAAGUUUAGAGAAAUGGGAAAGAGCGGAAAAACUAUCAUACGGAUCCCUUAUACAAAUGCGUUAUUUUCUGUGUGUUCACUACUACAAACAUAUGACACAUGCAAGAGAGUUGUGGGUGCAGAUGGGAAACAUUAGCAGUAUAAGGGAUGGGCGAAGUUUUCUAUCCAUUCACAAACUAUGUGCCUUCUUUCCACAACCAUUUGUAAACUAUUGCUUGCUGCACAUGCGCUUACCGAAUGCGGCACAACUUCGGCUGUUUGAAGUAUUCCAUAUUAUUGAAAAACAUGAAGCCCUUUUUUGGGGCAUGAAAGUAAAUUUCAAAGCUUUAUUAUCAGAAAAAUCUCUUUAAAUCCUUUCAUCUUGAUAUUUAUACAAUGCACGUCAAGCUUGCCACCAGUAAAGAUUUAAGCUUAGUCAGGUAAACUCCCUGUGAAGCGGUACUAAAACAUCAUAUUUUACGAGCUGUAUUUCAAACUAAAAUUUGUACCGCAUUACACAUUGCUUAACCCUCUAUUCCGCCUUACAUGUUCUGGCUUAAUUCUGUUGGGUGGAUUUCUUUGAUGCGAUUUUGUAAUUAUAAUUGUUUUCGAGGUAUUGAGUGGUUUUUAGUGUUAAUGAAUUACAUGAAUAAUCUUUUUUAAAAUACGCCUUCGUGAUAGUAGGCUUCAGGUAAAAAUACAAUUUACCAUUAAUUGCUGAGAUUGAAUAUCAGCCGGCAGGGAAACUACUGUAACUUUAACAGAAUAUGUGUUGAUAUUGUAAAAUAGAAUAAGUGUUUGAAAAACGCCAAUUUUCAGAGCUAAUCAACUUCCUCAUUCCUUUAUUUUUUUUCAUUUUCGAGAUAAUUCAUAGCUUAUUGAUUUGAAAAAAAAAUGUCUGUAUAUGAAAUGUAACCUAAAUUGUUGUAUAUAUCUUCUAAUCUUUAAAAUAUGGAAG